GAUGAACGCUGGCGGCGUGCCUAAUACAUGCAAGUCGAGCAAAUGGAUUAAGAGCUUGCUCUUAUGAAGUUAGCGGCGGACGGGUGAGUAACACGUGGGUAACCUGCCCAUAAGACUAGGAUAACUCCGGGAAACCGGGGCUAAUACCGGAUACCAUUUUGAACCGCAUGGUUCGAAAUUGAAAGGCGGCUUCGGCUGUCACUUAGGGAUGGACCCGCGUCGCAUUAGCUAGUUGGUGAGGUAACGGCUCACCAAGGCAACGAUGCGUAGCCGGCCUGAGAGGGUGAUCGGCCACACUGGGACUGAGACACGGCCCAGACUCCUACGGGAGGCAGCAGUAGGGAAUCUUCCGCAAUGGACGAAAGUCUGACGGAGCAACGCCGCGUGAGUGAUGAAGGCUUUCGGGUCGUAAAACUCUGUUGUUAGGGAAGAACAAGUGCUAGUUGAAUAAGCUGGCACCUUGACGGUACCUAACCAGAAAGCCACGGCUAACUACGUGCCAGCCGCCGCAGUAA
rnacentral:rRNA from 1 species